UUAAGCGACUAAGCGUACACGGUGGAUGCCCUGGCAGUCAGAGGCGAUGAAGGACGUGCUAAUCUGCGAUAAGCGCCGGUAAGGUGAUAUGAACCGUUAUAACCGGCGAUUUCCGAAUGGGGAAACCCAGUGUGAUUCGUCACACUAUCAUUAACUGAAUCCAUAGGUUAAUGAGGCGAACCGGGGGAACUGAAACAUCUAAGUACCCCGAGGAAAAGAAAUCAACCGAGAUUCCCCCAGUAGCGGCGAGCGAACGGGGAGGAGCCCAGAGCCUGAAUCAGCAUGUGUGUUAGUGGAAGCGUCUGGAAAGGCGCGCGAUACAGGGUGACAGCCCCGUACACAAAAGCGCAUGUGCUGUGAGCUCGAUGAGUAGGGCGGGACACGUGGUAUCCUGUCUGAAUAUGGGGGGACCAUCCUCCAAGGCUAAAUACUCCUGACUGACCGAUAGUGAACCAGUACCGUGAGGGAAAGGCGAAAAGAACCCCGGCGAGGGGAGUGAAAAAGAACCUGAAACCGUGUACGUACAAGCAGUGGGAGCACAGGUUUACCUGUGUGACUGCGUACCUUUUGUAUAAUGGGUCAGCGACUUAUAUUCUGUAGCAAGGUUAACCGAAUAGGGGAGCCGGAGGGAAACCGAGUCUUAAUUGGGCGUUAAGUUGCAGGGUAUAGACCCGAAACCCGGUGAUCUAGCCAUGGGCAGGUUGAAGGUUGGGUAACACUAACUGGAGGACCGAACCGACUAAUGUUGAAAAAUUAGCGGAUGACCUGUGGCUGGGGGUGAAAGGCCAAUCAAACCGGGAGAUAGCUGGUUCUCCCCGAAAGCUAUUUAGGUAGCGCCUCGUGAAUUCAUCUCCGGGGGUAGAGCACUGUUUCGGCUAGGGGGCCAUCCCGGCUUACCAACCCGAUGCAAACUGCGAAUACCGGAGAAUGUUAUCACGGGAGACACACGGCGGGUGCUAACGUCCGUCGUGAAGAGGGAAACAACCCAGACCGCCAGCUAAGGUCCCAAAGUCAUGGUUAAGUGGGAAACGAUGUGGGAAGGCCCAGACAGCCAGGAUGUUGGCUUAGAAGCAGCCAUCAUUUAAAGAAAGCGUAAUAGCUCACUGGUCGAGUCGGCCUGCGCGGAAGAUGUAACGGGGCUAAACCAU
rnacentral:rRNA from 1 species